UUAAGCAUAUCACUAAGCGGAGGAAAAGAAACUAACAAGGAUUCCCGCAGUAACGGCGAGUGAAGCGGGAAUAGCCCAGCGCCGAAUCCCACGGGUCGCACUCGUUGGGACAUGUGGUGUAUAGGCCAGCCUCUGGCGCCGACUUCGGCUGCCCGAGUCCUCCUGAUAGGGGCCUUUUCCCAGAGCGGGUGUUAGGCCUCUACUGGCAGCCAAGACGGUGUCUCUGAGCGGCCCAAGAGUCGGGUUGUUUGUGAAUGCAGCCCAAAGCGGGUGGUAAACUCCAUCUAAGGCUAAAUACUUGCACGCGUCCGAUAGCAGACAAGUACCGUGAGGG
rnacentral:rRNA from 1 species